UUAGCUAGCAGGUUUUUCUGUUCUACUAUUAAAAUAUCUUCACUUGUGUGUCUUAAGUUGGCUGUGCAGCGAUACAUGAUGAAAGGAGCAGAACCUUUUUGUUAAGGACUUCAAUAGCGUUGUGUAUGGUUGUUUAAAAAGGAGUAAAUGCUUGUGGCAAGUAAUUGAUAUUAGAAGUUUGUACAUGCUUCUCAUCUUUGAAUUGUGAUGCUUUGGUAAGAAUUUAGUCAUAGUAUAUAAGAUACAUGAUAUGGCCCCUAGGGCUUAGUUCGAAUGGCAAAGGUUGAGGUACUUGCGUCAUAGGUCCGAGCCACGAUCCAUGUGAACUACGUGUUAGAAUAUGAGUAGGAGUAUGUUAGAAUAUGAGUAGGAUUAUAUAUGCUAUUCCUACUCCUACUCAUAUUCUAACACUACGCUUGGCUUCGAAGGUUGUGGUUGGUCCUAAAGGUUUGCCCCAAAUGGGUUUCUCUGUCAUUAAAAGGAAAUAAAUGUAUGUAUAUCAGCCAAGCAAUUUAAAUGUAAAACUCCUUGACCACUGAAAAUUGCUCUCUUUUAAAUGUUCACCAAAGUGGUCAAGGCCUUCUAUGCUAACCUAUUGUGCUAUGUGUGUCAAUUUACUUGCAAUACCAUUCAAAUAUCUUUUAGUUUUCCUGCAAAGCCUUUUUCUCUCAGCAAUUCAGUAGACUCUCGUGUGAUGCAUGUUAUUUACAUGAACUUGCGUACUUCAUCUGUGUUCAUGCAUAUGGUGCAUUUUUGGUUGACAUAAUUUUGAAUUGUUGAUAAUCCGGUAUAGCUGACCCCAAUUAGUAUGGGAUUGAUAGUAGCUGAUUGACUGAUAGUAUAAUCAUACAUAAGCCACUGUACCAUCUUCACUUCAAUCAAAGAAGCAAAUUCUUCUUGCUUUUAGUUUGAUAGGGAUUUGGAUAGUUGGUAAAAUCAUUACCUUUAGUUUGAUAGGGAUUUGGAUAGUUGGUAAAAUCAUUACCUUUAGUUUGAUAGGGAUUUGGAUAGUUGGUAAAAUCAUUACCUUUAGUUUGAUAGGGAUUUGGAUAGUUGGUAAAAUCAUUAACUGCCAUUUUAGCAUGAUUCAGAGUCUUCUGUAGCUAGUGAUGUCAGGCUUCAUCUGUAGGUUCUUCGAUAAUAUAGGUUAGACAGGCUAACAAGAUAAUAAAUACCCUUUGGGGAGC
rnacentral:lncRNA from 1 species